rnacentral:rRNA from 1 species
AUGUGGAAAACCAACUGGCCUUGGCAGAUCAGAGCUUAUGAUGAUACGCAAUUCCUGGUCAGAUUUCCCCCCAAUAAAAAGAUUGUUGAUCUAGUUGCUUUUAAAUCCAUCAAUCUGAAAAAAGCUGGUGUUACUAUUUCCUUCAAAGAUUGGCAUGGUGAACUUCCUCCAUUUGACUCUCUUAAAGAAGUUUGGGUUAAUAUCAUUGGCAUUCCUCCUGUCUGGUGUUCUUGGCCAGUGAUUGCCCAAAUUGCUUCCUCUCUAGGUGUCAUUGUCAAUGUUGAUUGGCAUGAGAUCUUCAGGAGUUUCUAUGAGGUUGUCAGAAUCCAAGUGGCAGUGAGGAAUCCUCUUGAGAUCCCUAAGGAUAGACUGGUUGAGAUCCAACAGGAGUUAUAUUGA